GCACGCGCAUCAGCAGAAAUUCCACGUCCAGACCGCGUGAUAGCUUAUUUGAAUUGCUCUGCUCAGUCGAGUCAGCAAUCGAGCAGCAGCAGCUCACUAUAACGGUCGCCGACUCGCCGUCCAGUUGAUGUGAAGUAGCCAUGGUCGCCAAGCAAGUUAUUUUCACUACAGCAUUUCUUAGAAGGUAGGCAGUACACAUGUAUGCUAUACGUGAGUGCACUGGCAGCAGGAUGUGGCAUGUUUAAACUUUUAACUUCAGCAGUCUUCGAGGGAGGAAGUUUCUAAUUAUUUUGAAAACCACCCCAUACAUCUCUUCACUUUUGUUGCUGUACCUGCAUGACAUGACUUCGCAUGAGCUUUUAGAAAUGGCAGCCGAUUGUGCUUGGUUAUCCAGAAGGGCCAAGAUUCAAGAUUCGUGUCUUUGGAGAAGUGCCAUAUUGACAAUUAACCUUGCUGAACAAGGAAUCCACUUACUUCUACAUCUGGAUAAUCUUCUGUUAAAGGUUCCAUUAAAUGAAUGUUACUCUAAAACAUAGAUUGGGCAAUUAGCCAAUCUUAAUGGAGGUAUUCAAAGAAAAUCAUGUUGAAAUGUCAAUAUUUUAAAAUGCAGGUUUUUUGCGAGUUCCCUGCAUACAAAUAUAUCUUCACGAACAAACGCUAUUCAAGUAUCCCUUUCAAGUGUAAUUCUUUUUCAUAGACUCUGUAGCUACAAAAAAA